GACGAACGCUGGCGGCGUGCUUAACACAUGCAAGUCGAACGGAAAGGCCCUGCUUUUGUGGGGUGCUCGAGUGGCGAACGGGUGAGUAACACGUGAGUAACCUGCCCUUGACUUUGGGAUAACUUCAGGAAACUGGGGCUAAUACCGGAUAGGAGCUCCUGCUGCAUGGUGGGGGUUGGAAAGUUUCGGCGGUUGGGGAUGGACUCGCGGCUUAUCAGCUUGUUGGUGGGGUAGUGGCUUACCAAGGCUUUGACGGGUAGCCGGCCUGAGAGGGUGACCGGCCACAUUGGGACUGAGCUACGGCCCAGACUCCUCCGGGAGGCAGCAGUGCGGAAUAUUGCACAAUGGGCGGAAGCCUGAUGCAGCAACGCCGCGUGGGGGAUGACGGCCUUCGGGUUGUAAACCGCUUUCGCCUGUGACGAAGCGUGAGUGACGGUAAUGGGUAAAGAAGCACCGGCUAACUACGUG
rnacentral:rRNA from 1 species